UGUGGGAGGGGGCUUGCCCCCGAUGGCGGCGUGUCAGCUUGCAAAUGUGUUUCUGAUACAACGCCAUCGGGGGCAAGCCCCCUCCCACA
rnacentral:misc_RNA from 1 species